rnacentral:rRNA from 1 species
CACGUAGGGGGCAAGCGUUGUUCGGAAUUACUGGGCGUAAAGGGCGCGUAGGCGGCCUGUUAAGUCGAACGUGAAAUCCCCGGGCUCAACCCGGGAACUGCGUCCGAUACUGGCAGGCUCGAAUCCGGGAGAGGGAUGCGGAAUUCCAGGUGUAGCGGUGAAAUGCGUAGAUAUCUGGAGGAACACCGGUGGCGAAGGCGGCAUCCUGGACCGGCAUUAACGCUGAGGCGCGAAAGCCAGGGGAGCAAACGGG